rnacentral:rRNA from 1 species
AGGGGGAGUAACAGUUGGAAACGACUGCUAAUACCCCAUACUCCUUUUACAUUAAUUGUAAUUGGGAAACGUUUUUCGCUAAAGGAUGAGACUAUAUGGUAUCAGGUAGUUGGUGGGGUAAGAGCCCACCAAGCCAAUGACGCCUAGCUGGUCUGAGAGGAUGAUCAGCCACACUGGAACUGAGACACGGUCCAG